GAGGAAUAUUGGUCAAUGGGCGCAAGCCUGAACCAGCCAUGCCGCGUGCAGGAAGAAGCAUCUAUGGUGUGUAAACUGCUUUUAUACAGGAAGAAACACCUCCACGUGUGGAGGCUUGACGGUACUGUAGGAAUAAGGAUCGGCUAACUCCGUGCCAGCAGCCGCGGUAAUACGGAGGAUCCAAGCGUUAUCCGGAAUCAUUGGGUUUAAAGGGUCCGUAGGCGGUCUUAUAAGUCAGUGGUGAAAGCCCAUCGCUCAACGAUGGAACUGCCAUUGAUACUGUAAGACUUGAAUUUUUGUGAAGUAACUAGAAUAUGUAGUGUAGCGGUGAAAUGCUUAGAUAUUACAUGGAAUACCAAUUGCGAAGGCAGGUUACUAACAAACGAUUGACGCUGAUGGACGAAAGCGUGGGGAGCGAAC
rnacentral:rRNA from 1 species